GAGUUUGAUCCUGGCUCAGGACGAACGCUGGCGGCGUGCUUAACACAUGCAAGUCGAACGGAAAGGCCCUUUCGGGGGUGCUCGAGUGGCGAACGGGUGAGUAACACGUGGGUGAUCUGCCCUGCACUUUGGGAUAAGCCUGGGAAACUGGGUCUAAUACCGAAUAGUCCCUGCUGGUCGCAUGGCCUGGUGGGGGAAAGCUUUUGCGGUGUGGGAUGGGCCCGCGGCCUAUCAGCUUGUUGGUGGGGUGAUGGCCUACCAAGGCGACGACGGGUAGCCGGCCUGAGAGGGUGUCCGGCCACACUGGGACUGAGAUACGGCCCAGACUCCUACGGGAGGCAGCAGUGGGGAAUAUUGCACAAUGGGCGCAAGCCUGAUGCAGCGACGCCGCGUGGGGAUGACGGCCUUCGGGUUGUAAACCUCUUUCAGUACCGACGAAGCGUAAGUGACGGUAGGUACAGAAGAAGCACCGGCCAACUACGUGCCAGCAGCCGCGGUAAUACGUAGGGUGCGAGCGUUGUCCGGAAUUACUGGGCGUAAAGAGCUCGUAGGUGGUUUGUCGCGUUGUCCGUGAAAACUCACAGCUUAACUGUGGGCGUGCGGGCGAUACGGGCAGACUGGAGUACUGCANGGGAGACUGGAAUUCCUGGUUGUACGGUGGAAUGCGCAGAUAUCAGGAGGAACACCGGUGGCGAAGGCGGGUCUCUGGGCAGUAACUGACGCUGAGGAGCGAAAGCGUGGGGAGCGAACAGGAUUAGAUACCCUGGUAGUCCACGCCGUAAACGGUGGGUACUAGGUGUGGGUUCUUUCCUAAGGAUCCGUGCCGUAGCUAACGCAUUAAGUACCCCGCCUGGGGAGUACGGCCGCAAGGCUAAAACUCAAAGGAAUUGACGGGGGCCCGCACAAGCGGCGGAGCAUGUGGAUUAAUUCGAUGCAACGCGAAGAACCUUACCUGGGUUUGACAUGCACAGGACGCCGGCAGAGAUGUCAGUUCCCUUGUGGCCUGUGUGCAGGUGGUGCAUGGCUGUCGUCAGCUAGUGUCGUGAGAUGUUGGGUUAAGUCCCGCAACGAGCGCAACCCUUGUCUCAUGUUGCCAGCGCGUUAUGGCGGGGACUCGUGAGAGACUGCCGGGGUCAACUCGGAGGAAGGUGGGGAUGACGUCAAGUCAUCAUGCCCCUUAUGUCCAGGGCUUCACACAUGCUACAAUGGCCGGUACAAAGGGCUGCGAUGCCGUGAGGUGGAGCGAAUCCUUUCAAAGCCGGUCUCAGUUCGGAUCGGGGUCUGCAACUCGACCCCGUGAAGUCGGAGUCGCUAGUAAUCGCAGAUCAGCAACGCUGCGCAGAACGUUGGCGGGCCUUGACACACCGCCCGUCA
rnacentral:rRNA from 1 species